CCGAUACCAAGGCGAUCGGGUGAACUGUGGUUAAGGAACUCGGCAAAUUGCCCCCGUAACUUCGGGAGAAGGGGGGCCUCCGCUGGUGAUCAGACUUGCUUUGUGAGCUGGUGGGGGUCGCAGAGGCCAGGGGGAAGCGACUGUUUACUAAAAACACAGGUCCGUGCGAAGUCGUAAGACGAUGUAUACGGACUGACGCCUGCCCGGUGCUGGAACGUUAAGGGGACCGGUUAGCGGGACGUAAGUCCUGCGAGGCUGAGAACUUAAGCGCCAGUAAACGGCGGUGGUAACUAUAACCAUCCUAAGGUAGCGAAAUUCCUUGUCGGGUAAGUUCCGACCUGCACGAAUGGCGUAACGACUUCCCCGCUGUCUCAACCGCAGACCCGGCGAAAUUGCACUACGAGUAAAGAUGCUCGUUACGCGCAGCAGGACGGAAAGACCCCGGGACCUUCACUACAGCUUGACAUUGGCGUUUGGAACGUCUUGUGUAGGAUAGGUGGGAGACCGUGAAGCUGUCACGCUAGUGGCGGUGGAGUCAUUGGUGAAAUACCACUCUGGUCGUUUUGAACGUCUAACUUCGGUCCGUGAUCCGGAUCAGGGACAGUGUCUGGUGGGUAGUUUAACUGGGGCGGUUGCCUCCUAAAGAGUAACGGAGGCGCCCAAAGGUUCCCUCAGCCUGGUUGGUAAUCAGGUGUCGAGUGUAAGUGCACAAGGGAGCUUGACUGUGAGACCGACGGGUCGAGCAGGAGCGAAAGCUGGGACUAGUGAUCCGGCGGUGGCAUGUGGAAGCGCCGUCGCUCAACGGCUAAAAGGUACCCCGGGGAUAACAGGCUGAUCUUCCCCAAGAGUCCAUAUCGACGGGAUGGUUUGGCACCUCGAUGUCGGCUCGUCGCAUCCUGGGGCUGGAGUAGGUCCCAAGGGUUGGGCUGUUCGCCCAUUAAAGCGGUACGCGAGCUGGUUUAGAACGUCGCGAGACAGUUCGGUCCCUAUCCGCUGCGCGCGCAGGAGACUUGAAAGGAGCUGUCCCUAGUACGAGAGGACCGGGACGGACGAACCUCUGGUGUGCCAGUUGUUCCGCCAGGAGCAUGGCUGGUUGGCUACGUUUGGAAGGGAUAACCGCUGAAAGCAUCUAAGCGGGAAGCUCGCCUUGAGAUGAGGUCUCCCACCACGAAAGUGGGUAAGGCCCCCGGGAGACGACCGGGUUGAUAGGCCGGAGGUGGAAGCAUGGUAACGUGUGGAGCUGACCGGUACUAAUAGGCCGAGGACUUGACCAC
rnacentral:rRNA from 1 species